rnacentral:rRNA from 1 species
UACGGAGGGUGCAAACGUUGCUCGGAAUCAUUGGGCGUAAAGGGCGCGUAGGCGGGCUGGCAAGUCGGUCGUGAAAUCCCUCGGCUCAACUGAGGAUCGUCGAUCGAUACUGCCGUUCUUGAGGAUUGCAGAGGAGACUGGAAUUCCCGGUGUAGCGGUGAAAUGUGUAGAGAUCGGGAGGAACACCGGUGGCGAAGGCGGGUCUCUGGGCAAUUCCUGACGCUGAGGCGCGAAAGCGUGGGGAGCAAACGGG